UUGAACGCUGGCGGCAGGCCUAACACAUGCAAGUCGAGCGGAUGAAGGGAGCUUGCUCCUGGAUUCAGCGGCGGACGGGUGAGUAAUGCCUAGGAAUCUGCCUGGUAGUGGGGGAUAACGUCCGGAAACGGGCGCUAAUACCGCAUACGUCCUGAGGGAGAAAGUGGGGGAUCUUCGGACCUCACGCUAUCAGAUGAGCCUAGGUCGGAUUAGCUAGUUGGUGGGGUAAAGGCCUACCAAGGCGACGAUCCGUAACUGGUCUGAGAGGAUGAUCAGUCACCUGGGAACGAGACACGGGCCCAACCCCCAAGGGGGGGCAGAGGGGGGAAAUUUGGGAAAAGGGGGGAAAGCCUGACCCGGCCCGGCGGGGGGGGGGAAAAAGGUCUUCGAUUGGUAAAGCCUUUUAAGUUGGGAGGAAGGGCAGUAAGUUAACCCCUGGCUUUUUGAACGUAACCAAAAAAAAAACCACCGGCAAAUUUGUG
rnacentral:rRNA from 1 species